rnacentral:misc_RNA from 1 species
AAGUCGUAACAAGGUUUCCGUAGGUGAACCUGCGGAAGGAUCAUUUUCAAAAUGCUUUUUUUUAUGCUUUAUUGCAUAUAAUGGCAACAACUUUUACCAACAACGUGGAUGGAGUGGGGGUUGUGUGGUGUUGGCUUCAACGCUAGCAUUCAUACAUCUCUCUCCUCUGCUAGUGUGAUAUCCUGGUAUAUGCAGCCCUUUUAAUCUUACUUACUCUCGACGGAGCGCGUCUCCAGAGAGAGGCCAAUGAAAAGAACACCUCUUGUACACUUUUUGCCGUAAAACAGCACAAGUGGCCAAGUCGCAAAUAAAAACUAUUUCCUUCUGUUUAUCCCUCACGGGGUAAGUGGAAACAAAAAAAAAAUACAAUUAUUACGACAACUUUUAACGGUGGAUCUCUUGGCUCGU